GAACAAUGAUGAAAAGGUUUUACUACUGACCUUUAUAACUAUGUAGUUUUUUACAUUUGAUGUGAGCUCA
ensembl:snoRNA